rnacentral:lncRNA from 1 species
CACUGUAUACAUUGCUUUUUUUUUUUUGUGUGUGUGAUUUGUAUCCCAUUGAACAAUUAUUCAUUAUUCCGUCAUCCUAUUAUAUAAUUCUAUCUUACAUGAGAAUCAUCAUCACCUAAUAUUUGGAUCGGCGGUGUCAUCACCUAAAUACAUUAAUGGUAAAACAUGGGUUCGAUUAAAACAAUAUUUUUAAAGAGAGUAAAACUCGAGCCGCAUGACUAUUCGUGAGAAGUGAGAACAUCCUUGUAAUUGACAUGCUGGAAACUUCUUGGGGGCGUAGACUUUACACCGACACUACUGCAACAUUCAUCGUUCACUUCCUU